GAUGAACGCUGGCGGCGUGCCUAAUACAUGCAAGUCGAGCGAACAGAUGAGGAGCUUGCUCCUCUGACGUUAGCGGCGGACGGGUGAGUAACACGUGGAUAACCUACCUAUAAGACUGGGAUAACUUCGGGAAACCGGAGCUAAUACCGGAUAAUAUAUUGAACCGCAUGGUUCAAUAGUGAAAGACGGUUUUGCUGGCACUUAUAGAUGGAUCCGCGCCGCAUUAGCUAGUUGGUAAGGUAACGGCUUACCAAGGCAACGAUGCGUAGCCGACCUGAGAGGGUGAUCGGCCACACUGGAACUGAGACACGGUCAAGACUCCUACGGGAGGCAGCAGUAGGGAAUCUUCCGCAAUGGGCGAAAGCUUGACGGAGCAACGCCGCGUGAGUGAUGAAGGUCUUCGGAUCGUAAAACUCUGUUAUUAGGGAAGAACAACUGUGUAAGUAACUAUGCACGUCUUGACGGUACCUAAUCAGAAAGCCACGGCUAACUACGUG
rnacentral:rRNA from 1 species